rnacentral:rRNA from 1 species
CUGAGGAGCGAAAGCGUGGGGAGCGAACAGGAUUAGAUACCCUGGUAGUCCACGCCGUAAACGUUGGGCGCUAGGUGUGGGGGCCAUUCCACGGUCUCCGUGCCGCAGCUAACGCAUUAAGCGCCCCGCCUGGGGAGUACGGCCGCAAGGCUAAAACUCAAAGGAAUUGACGGGGGCCCGCACAAGCGGCGGAGCAUGUUGCUUAAUUCGAUGCAACGCGAAGAACCUUACCUAGGCUUGACAUGCACGGAAAUCUCCCAGAGAUGGGGGGUCCGUAAGGGCCGUGCACAGGUGGUGCAUGGUUGUCGUCAGCUCGUGUCGUGAGAUGUUGGGUUAAGUCCCGCAACGAGCGCAACCCUCGUUCCAUGUUGCCAGCACGUAGUGGUGGGGACUCAUGGGAGACUGCCGGGGUCAACUCGGAGGAAGGUGGGGAUGACGUCAAAUCAUCAUGCCCCUUAUGUCUAGGGCUGCAAACAUGCUACAAUGGCCGGUACAAAGGGCUGCGAUACCGUGAGGUGGAGCGAAUUCCAAAAAGCCGGUCUCAGUUCGG